UGCUAUAUCUGGUUUUUUUGG
ensembl:piRNA 21ur-10345 ncRNA